rnacentral:Y_RNA from 1 species
GGCUGGUCUGAAUGCAGUGAUGUUUAAAACAGACUGAUCACAACCAGUUACAGAUUUGUUUCUUCUCCACUUCCAGUGCUUUCAAUAACUAGCCUAAA